rnacentral:rRNA from 1 species
CCUACGGGUGGCUGCAGUGGGGAAUUUUGGACAAUGGGGGCAACCCUGAUCCAGCCAUGCCGCGUGCGGGAAGAAGGCCUUCGGGUUGUAAACCGCUUUUAGCCGGGAAGAAAAGGCGAGGGAUAACACCCUUCGUUCUUGACGGUACCGGCGGAAUAAGCACCGGCUAACUACGUGCCAGCAGCCGCGGUAAUACGUAGGGGGCGAGCGUUGAUCGGAGUUACUGGAGGUGAGUCGUGCGGUGGCGUGUGAAAGCCCCGGGCUCAACCUGGGAAUGGCAUUGGAUACUGGCGGGCUUGAGUGUGGCAGAGGGGGGUGGAAUUCCGCGUGUAGCAGUGAAAUGCGUAGAGAUGCGGAGGAACACCGAUGGCGAAGGCAGCCCCCUGGGCUGACACUGACGCUCAGGCACGAAAGCGUGGGGAGCAAACAGGAUUAGAUACCCUGGUAGUC